CAGAAUGGUUUAUACCUAAUAAAAUACCCAAGGGACGCCCAAUAAUAUCAGACUGUGGCAGCGAAUCAUACAACGUAUCACAAUAUAUAGACCAUUUCUUAUUACCCCUAGCAUGCCAACACCCAUCCUACCUUAAAGACACUAACGAUUUCAUUCAGAAAAUCAAACAGUUAAGAGUCCCCGAACACACCGUUUUAAUAUCCAUCGACGUACAAAGCAUGUACACGAACAUUGAUAAUAACAUAGGUAUUGAAGCAGUUAGGAAAGCAUUUCUUAGGAACCCGCAAGCAUCCAGGCCGGACGAAGAAAUCCUCAAACUACUCAACAUUUGUCUGAGGAGGAAUGACUUCGCUUUUAACGACCAAGUAUACCUUCAGUCUUCCGGAACUGCGAUGGGAAAACGAUUUGCCCCGAGUUAUGCAAAUCUCUUCAUGGCGGAGUGGGAAAGGGAAGUUCUGCCACUCUGUCCAUUAAAACCAGAUUUCUAUGGGCGGUUUUUAGAUGACGUUUUCAUAGUCUGGACCUACACACUAGACGAAUUUUGGACGUUUUUCAACAUCCUGAACAAUCAUCAUCCAUCUGUCAAAUUAACCGCAAAUAAACAAUAAUACCAGAAUACCAGAAGCACCACCCAAGGAAGACCAUCAGCGCCACCAACACCAAUAAACAGUGAAAUCGCCUUUGUAUAUAAAUCUAAUGUAUUGUAUGUAUUUUAAUAAAACUAGGAAAUAUCA